CAACUACUCCCUCAGUCCGGAAUUACUUGUCAUCAAAAUGGAUGAAAAUGGAUGUAUCUAGAACUAAAAUACAUCUAGAUACAUCCAUUUCAAUGGCAAGUAUUUUCGGACGGAGGGAGUACAUG
rnacentral:pre_miRNA from 1 species